rnacentral:tRNA from 1 species
GGGUUGGUAAGUUAAAUUUAAACUACGGGGUUCAUGUCCCCAUAAUACACAUUAUGUGUCCCACCUA